AAACUGAGAAAAGAAUCCACUUCUCUUGACCUCCUUGUCUGUGUCUUGUCUGCAAGGCUGCCUGUCUUCCUAGCAGCUGACAGAACUACUGACAAGGGCGAAGGCCGUAUUGAUCCUGUAGUUAGACGCUGAAAAAACACCAUUAUUUAGCAUCAGUUGGUUUCAGCAGGAGUCACAUCCCUUGGACAGAAUUUGACACUUAGAAGUAUUAAUUUUUAAGUCUAAUUAUACCUACUGUAAUACCAAUAUCAGAACUUGAUAUGUUGCUGGUUAGUAAAUGACGACAAAUCCAAAAUAUUUUUUUCAAAACAAAUAACUGUAGCUGUGAUACAUAGGGAUGCUUUGACAGAGAAGGUGUAUGUAACUCUUUUCACUCUGCACACCAGGCUCAGGGAUUCAGUAGCUCAUCAGGGAUAUGGGAAAGCAAAAGAUCCUGCUGGGUCUCAGCAGCGCCACACAGGCAGUGGGACAAACCCCUUCUGUGCCACAUGCCCUCAGAACGCAGCUGCCUCAUCAGUCAGCACUGCAAAAGAAAGCAAAAUCAAUUGAAAUCCCUCCAUUUCAGCAAGCUGAGUAUGAACACGAGUAGACAAGUGUGCAGCUUGAUAACGUGCCCCCUUCGUAGAGCCACUGUUUUUUCACCUCCCCACCCAAUUUCCAUUGUAAGAGCCUCUCAGGCCAUCUCCUCUGAUAGGCAGUGCUCCACUCAGGGGAAUUUGGACAGACACUCAGAGCAGCAACAUUUUGGAGCUGAGUAAUCUACAAUAGAAGGAAGAUAAGCGCAUUGUUAGUUUCUGCUCAUACGCAAUCAAAGCAGACAAAGCAUCCAUCAUCCUGUACAAUAUUAGUCUUCAAAUAUUCAGCUUUAUCAGUUCCCCCAUUCCUAAUCCAUCAUUAACCACCCCAUGAAGUCUCAGCUGAUUAGCCCCACCUCUGCAGCUCAGCAAACCAUUAACUAUUUAUUAUUUGUAUUUAAUUGAACAUCAGUAGCAGUAGAAAACUCCAACCAGACACACUUCAGAACCAGAACAAAGGAGAUGGUCCCCUGCCUAAGGAAUUCAUGUUUUGGACAAGACUGAAGUGCAGCAAAGAGGAAGUGACAGCUAUGCUGAACAAAGGCUUACCCAUGUACCCUCUAUUAAAUUCUGCACCCUACAAAUUUCUAGAUAUUUUAUGGAUUUAUUUUCAAUUAGUUCCAUCUCCUUAUCCCUUAGAAUCAGAGAAAAUGACAUGAUUUGGAUGGGUCCUGCAAGAAAAAAAAGGUAUUUUUUAUGUUAGGUGAAAAAUGGUUUAAAAAACUCUUUGAAAUCAUGGAACAGUUAUGAGGUAGUGAUAGAAACUAGGGGUUAUAGUCAUAGGAAACUGGCAAACAUACACAACAUGCACAUUUUAUGGGGACUUAAAUAAAUGAAUGGAAAUGGAUUUCUCAGUUAAAAUGCUUACUUCUUGGGGAUUAAAUAUAUGUAAUUUAUGAGGUGUUAUUUAUAUUUUGCUGCUUUCUAUUCACAUGCAUAAUCAAAACAUAGAUACAAUUCUAAUUUUUUUUUUUUUUUCUGCUAGUAGUCCUGGGUUUGGACACCUUUUUCUGUCUUUCUCUUUUUAUUACUUAGACUGGAAGCUAAGGCUAGCUGCACAUUUCCUCUGAAGUAAACUUUGUAGAAGAAAUCAGUGUCUUUGUUACCUCCACCUGGGUUUCUGUACCUUUCUAUUUGUGAGUUCCCUUUGAAACAUGCCUGAAAGAUCCAGUUCUCAAGAAAGUCACUACCCACUCCCUGAGCAAAGCUGCACAGCACGAGCACUCCACACCAGAGACUCAGCACUGGCUUGUUGUUUACUGAUCAACUUUAAAGCCCAGAGCACUGGAGGAAACAGUUUACUAAGGGACUUCUCUACCUCUGUGCCCACUCACUGCCCUGCUACCAGGUGGAGAGUAAUGUCAGUCUGGGAACCAAGCUCAAUAUGUGAAAGUGAACAUGGAUAAUACAGAAAAUGUUUUUUUCAAUUUGAGUUAGAAAACUCAAGUUAAAACCAUUUGAAUCCAUCCUUGUAAUUCAGUGUCUGAACAGAAUAAUGCAUUUUAAGUAGCACUGACUAAAUGGCUUUGAGGAAAUGAAAAAGCUAUCCAUCUAUAAUAUACUGUGCUAUCUGUAUGCUUUACCCCAGUCUAGGUAAAAGCUUCUGUUAAAAAUAGGUAUUUCCCAGUACUAUUCCCUCUGCCUUUGAAUUUAUUGUGAUGUCAAUCUAUUGGAGACAAAGAAUGAUGACUCUCAGGGUACAAGGGGUGAUGCAUUUAUAUUUACCUAGCACUUGACUCACUUGCAUUUGUUCUCCUUUUAAUCCCUGUAAUUAAAAUGCCUGCCUGCCUCUUCAGUAUGUGCUCUAAAAUAGUUUAUAUUUGGACAUCACAGCAAUCAUAGUUACUGCUGCAGAAGGACAAGAGGAAGAACAAUUGACUUAGGCCAGCACAGUUAAGUAACCUAUGGAAGGGAAAACAUAAGCUACUAAUGCAAAAUAGAAUAUGAGAGCAUUGAGUCAGAUGAAAGGAACACUUAAAGUAGUACAGCCCGUCUCGCACAAGAGCCAGAAUGAAAUUAUUAAGGCAAUAGAUGAGAAAUGACGCAAAUAUGGAGAAAUAAGUUCUGUGGUAUAUCCACCCAACUUACAGCUGACUGCACUUUGGAGACUUCUUGAGCCAGAUGCUCUGUCAAGUCUAUCAUGUUUUGUAAAUGAAAAUGGAGUGAUUUCUCAGAUCUUUCAAGUCUGGCUUUUCCAAGUUCUUCUUUGAAUCUGUUUGGACCUAUUUCCCUCCAAACAUCUUGUGGACACUGUGUUCCACAGUUUUUUUAAAUGUGUUCUGUGGAAGAACCCCACUUCAUUUAAUUUAUUUUAAGCUUCCUAUCUGCAGUCAGAACCAAUGAGGAAUGCCCAAACUAGUCUAAAAUAAUCUUGAACAACAUCUCCAUCCAUUUCUAUUUUAUUAGUUCCCUUCAUCUACCUUCCUUCCUCUGUAAUGCCCUCUUUCUUUUUUCCUAAUUUCUGGAGGGUGUCACAAGUUCUAAAGGCAUCUAAUUUACAAAUGCAUGCCUAUCACAUACCAAAAUUAAAAUGAUUGAAAGUACAGCAGUCCUUCAGGGGCAGAGUCUUCUGCAAUGAUGUCGCUUACUUGUAAGUUUAGUCUUGAACUUUGGUGCCUCAGUUGCUUUCUGAGCUCUUGAAUGACAGUGACCUGAUUUUCAGAGGUGCUUAGCACCCACCAGGUCUCCAAGGGAGCUGCAGGCACUCCACAAGCACAAGAGAACACUUUUAUGCAAAGCAUCUGCCUUACUCUGGGCACUCAAGUAUUAAAUUGUUACUCUGGAUUCAGCUUCACAGUGUAGUGACACAGGAAAUCGUUAGCCCUGGAGUGAAAUUAAGAACCUUAGGACCAUAAGUAAAACCCUUACUUAUGGUGAUUUAAGGUAAGUAGUACUCUUUAUUUAAAUAUUACUAAAUGUGAAUCUUCCCAUUUUUUUCAGGAUCAGUGGCAAAUGCUACAGAGGAGAAUCAUCCUACAGGUUUCACGUACUAUAAAUGUACAUAUUUGCUAUAUCAGGAGUCCUGCUGGAACAUCUGAUUUUCAGCUUUGUAUAUGUUUCCACAGUAAAACACCAAAACUUCAACUUACAUUUUCACCUGCACAAUCAUCUAAUAGAUACACUUUCCAUCUACCCUAUAAUUUUUUUUCUUUCUCUGUUCCUCUCUUGGAACUUGUUCAGACCUAUUCUCUAGCCAAAAGUGGGUGGGUUUUUUUCUCUUCAGUGUACUCCUCUUUGCAUUUCUUUCUGCUUUCACGCCACCUUUCUAUGUGUCAGCCUUGUUCCACUUCUUCUCCCUGGUGGCAUUCAGAACUCCUGCUACUUUCAUACACUCUCACCAUUUUAAGCUGCUUUCCCACAUGCUGCCUUUCACAGAACACCUUCCAUCCACUGAUUUCCAAAGCACAGAUGCUUGUUCGCUUUCCAUGAUGGCAACAACAGCUCUAAAGGAAACAUAUCGUUUCCCCUCCUGCAAUUCACGCACAAAUGCCUGGCAUGUGCUGCCUGGAGAAAGCCUUUCAACUUUGAAUUUCCUUGCUUUUGUGGAAUCUGUGAAAAAGUCUGAUAAAUUAAAGCUUUGGCAGUUAUUUCAAAUAACUUUAUUUGCAGCCAGCUGAGGCAAAAUCUGCCAAUGGUGCCAUCCCCGUGUUCUUUCAAAGGUUAUUGGUGUUUCAUGAGGGAGCUCAAAGUCAAGCUGGUUCAAAGGGAGGCUCACAUUUCAUUUUUUUCCAAGAAGGGUAGCUUACACGUUCUAAUGGUGACAGGAGGACUGUCUUACAAGACAUAAGAGCUGAGUUCUAGUUGAGGCCAUGACUCUCUUCCAAUACAUGUGUUUUGUCACUUUAUCUCUCGCCUGAUGAUUUCUCAUCUGUGAAACGGCUCUAAUGUUAAUGGCUGGUAGUUGUAAUAUUAGUUAACAACAGGCAAGAAGACACCAACUAAUCAUAUGGGUGGCAACAUUUUGGUGUUGGCCUUGGACCUGGUUUUAGUGUUGGCAGUGUGGGCAAAGCACACUGGAGUCUGCAGCUCCUCUCAGCAGGGCUCAAGAGACAUCAGCUGUGACACACAGCGUGCAGCAGGCAACUUCUCACAUUGUCCCGAAGGCCGAGAGUAAGAAAUAAUACAGAGCCUUGGCUUUGCAAGCCACUGCUGCCUGAGCUUCCAGGAACCACCGUGCACCUGGGGACCUCCAGUGAUACUCAGAAUAAACACCAGCAUGGCAGGGUUUGCCAUGUGCGUGAUCAGGAUUUCAGUGCAUGCUAAUGAAAAUAAGCAUGGUGUUCCUGACCCUCUACACCCAGAAGCUGUCCAAAGCCGAAGUCUCAUGGAAAGCCUUUGCUGAGCCAUCUAGGUGGAUAGAAGCUGUAUGUGACUGUUUCCCAUCUACACCCUAUGGUGACCUGAAAACAAAUGGUGAGAACAUGUCAAUUCUACUUUAACCAGUAGCACUGUGAAAAGAAAUCAGUAACUACACUUGACUUCAAGAAUCUUGGAUGAAGAAGGAUACAAACACUGAUCAUCUUUUAAGGCAAAAGAUCCUGCCUGUGUAGAGAAGGAUUCUCAGGACUGUCUUUGAGCAAAAUCUACUUAUGAACAGCCUCUAAUCGUCUAAGGAAGCUCUGGAUUGAGAUUAGUAUCCACAGCAGAAAGGAAUCUACAGACACUACUGUGUGCAAGUAAUGCUGUGGGCGUUCGUCCAAGCUCAGGAACGAGUGGAAUGUACCCCUUCUCCAAGAUACAGGUGAAAGACUGCAUAGACAUAUGUUUUCCACGGUGACUGGCAUUACCAAGCAACCUGAUGGAGAGCUGACAACACCUUGGCAAGCAGGGAAUAAUAAGGUAAAUUAUCGGCAAUAUUAAGAGAACCCAGUUACGAGCCUCACCUUUACUUUGGCCUGCGACGUCUGGGGCUGUUACUUGGGGAAAAAAAAAGAGAC